rnacentral:antisense_RNA from 6 species
CCGCGCGCGGCGGCGCGCAUGCCGCCGCCGGCGCGCGCCCCAACGAUCUGGAGACAAGUUCAUGCAAGCGUUC